UCAGAGAAUGGAUUAACCAUGCAGGCGUCAUUGAGUAAUGCAUCUCUCGCCGGAGUUGCAGUAGUAAUGGAAGUUCUCUCAUCA
rnacentral:snoRNA from 1 species